GUUGGUGAACCAGCGGAGGGAUCAUUACAGAGUUGCAAAACUCCCAACCCUUUGUGAACGCACUGAACAGUUGCCUCGGCGGCAGGCCCUCCAGGGGGCAGACCGCCGGCGGAAACCAAACUCUUGCAUUAUUGGCCUCUCUGAGAACUUAUUCAAUAAGUCAAAACUUUCAACAACGGAUCUCUUGGCUCUG
rnacentral:misc_RNA from 1 species